AUGUCGUGGUGAGGAGGGAACAGGAAAGAAGACCAUGCUGUCAUGGAAACCAAAGAGGAAGUGUUUCCAGGUCGUAGGGCAUCUGUAUUGAGAGCUGUUGUAAAGGCAAGUAAAGGAAGAAGAGAGAAGCAUGAACGGACUCGACAAUGUAAGGCAAUGUGAUAAGAGGCAUUGACAGAUGUAAUACCUUGGUCCAGUGGGGAUGAAAAAUCCAAGUGGGGGCAUCACAACUGCACAGGUAGUUGGCAGUGAGGGUUUGUUUGGAUGAAGUCAGACAAUCAUCUGAGACCGAGGUGAUGAGAAGGCAUGGGUUUGUCAGAGGACUGAAGAGAGACAAGAGAUGAG